rnacentral:rRNA from 1 species
AUACGGAGGGUGCAAGCGUUGUUCGGAAUUAUUGGGCGUAAAGCGAGCGCAGGCGGUUUUUUAAGUCUGAUGUGGAAGCCCUUGGCUCAACCAAGGAAGUGCAUCGGAAACUGGAGAACUUGAGUGCAGAAGAGGACAGUGGAACUCCAUGUGUAGCGGUGAAAUGCGUAGAUAUAUGGAAGAACACCAGUGGCGAAGGCGGCUGUCUGGUCUGUAACUGACGUUGAGGCUCGAAAGCAUGGGUAGCGAACAGGAUUAGAUACCCUGGUAGUCCAUGCCGUAAACGAUGAAUGCUAGGUGUUGGAGGGUUUCCGCCCUUCAGUGCCGCAGCUAACGCAUUAAGCAUUCCGCCUGGGGAGUACGACCGCAAGGUUGAA